rnacentral:rRNA from 1 species
AUAAAGCCAUAGAUACUGGCAGACUAGAGUGCAGAAGAGGGUAGUGGAAUUCCAUGUGUAGCGGUAAAAUGCGUAGAUAUAUGGAGGAACACCAGUGGCGAAGGCGGCUACCUGGUCUGUAACUGACGCUCAAGCACGAAAGCGUGGGGAGCAAAUAGGAUUAGAUACCCUAGUAGUCCACGCCGUAAACGAUGGAUACUAAGUGUUGGGGGAACUCAGUGCUACAGUUAACGCAAUAAGUAUCCCGCCUGUGGAGUAUGCGCGCAAGUGUGAAACAUAAAGGAAUUGACGGGGGCCCGCACAAGCGGUGGAGUAUGUGGUUUAAUUCGACGCAACGCGAAGAACCUUACCAGGCCUUGACAUCCCUUGCAAAGUCAUAGAGAUAUGAUAGAGGUUAUCAAGGAGACAGGUGGUGCAUGGUUGUCGUCAGCUCGUGUCGUGAGAUGUUGGGUUAAGUCCCGCAACGAGCGCAACCCUUGUUUCUAGUUACCAUCAUUAAGUUGGGGACUCUAGAGAGACUGCCGGUGAUAAACCGGAGGAAGGUGGGGAUGACGUCAAAUCAUCAUGCCCCUUAUGGCCUGGGCUACACACGUACUACAAUGGCUGUUACAACAAGCAGCGACAUAGUGAUAUGAAGCAAAUCUUUGAAAAACAGUCUCAGUUCGGAUUGAAGUCUGCAACUCGACUUCAUGAAGUUGGAAUCGCUAGUAAUCGCGGAUCAGCAUGCCGCGGUGAAUACGUUCUCGGGCCUUGUACACACCGCCCGUCAAACCAUGAGAGUUGGUAAUACCCGAAGCCGGUGGCCUAACGAGCGAUCGAGGGAGCUGUCGAAGGUAGGACCGAUGAUUGGGGUUAAGUCGUAACAAGGUAACCA